UUUGGUGGAUUGGUGCCAAUUGUGAAUGUGAAGUUUGGAGGAAUCAAGGAAAAUGGUGCUAAUGGUUCUGGUUUUGUUAGUGAGAAGUUUUAUGAUAAGCAGAGAGGUAGGGUCUUUGGAGUUCAUGGGCAUUCAAAUAGGUCUCAUGAGAGCAUCGGUGUUGAGUUUUCUAAUGGAAAUUUUCAUGUUGGUAGUAGAAUACAGUGUGGGACAGGGGGUGAUGGAUGUUUGGCAUAUGAUGCCAAGAUGGAAGGAGGAUUGAAGCAUUUACCAGACUCAGACAAAUUUGUUAGACUUGGUAAUACUAGUAAUAAGCCACUCGCUGCAUCUUUGUUUGUACCGAGGAAUGAUGAGCUUAUCAAGAUUGAUGGUAACUUGAUAAUUCAU
rnacentral:misc_RNA from 1 species